ACGGGAGGCAGCAGUGGGGAAUAUUGGGCAAUGGGCGAAAGUCUGACCCAGCAAUGCCGCGUGAAGGAAGAAGGUCUUCGGAUUGUAAACUUCUUUUAUGAGGGACGAAGGAAUUGACGGUACCUCAUGAAUAAGCCACGGCUAACUACGUGCCAGCAGCCGCGGUAAUACGUAGGUGGCAAGCGUUAUCCGGAUUUACUGGGUGUAAAGGGCGCGUAGGCGGGGAAGCAAGUCAGAUGUGAAAUCUAUGGGCUUAACUCACAAACUGCAUUUGAAACUGUUUCUCUUGAGUGCUGGAGAGGUAGAUGGAAUUCCUAGUGUAGCGGUGAAAUGCGUAGAUAUUAGGAAGAACACCAGUGGCGAAGGCGAUCUACUGGACAGUAACUGACGCUGAGGCGCGAAAGUGUGGGGAGCAAACAGGAUUAGAUACCCUGGUA
rnacentral:rRNA from 1 species